rfam:Bombyx mori DNA, contig: Bm_scaf95_contig35185, strain: p50T/Dazao, build 2, whole genome shotgun sequence.
UUAGCUCAUAUUUUUGUAUGGAAUGGGAUCGUUUGCCUACGUUUGCCGUUAGGGGCGCUGUUCCAACUGCAUACAAAAUUGAGUUA